rnacentral:rRNA from 1 species
UACGUAGGGUGCGAGCGUUGUCCGGAAUUACUGGGCGUAAAGAGCUCGUAGGUGGUUUGUCGCGUUGUUCGUGAAAACUCACAGCUUAACUGUGGGCGUGCGGGCGAUACGGGCAGACUGGAGUACUGCAGGGGAGACUGGAAUUCCUGGUGUAGCGGUGAAAUGCGUAGAUAUCAAGAGGAACACCUGAGGUGAAGACGGGUUGCUGGGCCAACACUGACGCUGAUGCGCGAAAGCCAGGGGAGCAAACGGG